AGGAUUAUAGUUAAAUUAACAGUUAAGUUGCAUUUAAAAAAUAUUGAAAAAUCAAUUAAUCUUU
rnacentral:tRNA from 1 species